AUUAACAUGAUCCACAUAGAAAUUUUUAAGACAGAAAUUACAAACAAUUCAUCAGUUUUUGCUGAAAAUGUAUGUAACAAGGCCUCUUUCUUACUACCAACAGAAUCCAGAUGCUCUUUCAUUACCUCCUGAAGGUCCAAAUUCAGGUUACUUAGUGGUUCAAGAUGAGGAAUCUGAAACAUAUUGUUGUUUUGGACUUUGCAAAAAUCAUGAUCUCAUGGACCUUCCUUUCCCUCAGAACAAGAAUCUAACUGUUCGAUACGAAACUGGUGAUGGUGAGCACAAGAUUAUUCUCAAGGAAGAUGUAAUGUUCAUUCCAGUUCUUAAUAAACCACUGUCCUCCAAUCAAUAUUAUGCUAUCAAGCCUCAUGGAAAGAGCAAAGGAAAAGCAUUCAUGUGUUCAAAGGAGGAAGACAAACAAAACUGCUGUUUCUGCAGAUGUAUACGUGACGUUAAACCCAAGCCAUUAGAUCCAGAGGAGGUAUAUCAGCAGUGUGAGAUCUGUCUAUAUGUUACAAGUUGCAGUGGAAAAGGUCGCUUUUUUGCUAAAUCUCUUGCUCCUGAUGGUUUUCCACCGCGGUUUCUAAGGCGAAAAGGUUGGUAUCUUUGUGCCAAAACUCCUAAAAGUUAUGAACUAAGUGAUGAUGCUCUAGGCCUAAAUGCUGAGUUGAGGCAACAACUUCCAGAGUUCAAUCUCACACCAUCUUGUAAAACUUCUGAAGCUGUGGUUGUAGGGAAAUGGUAUUGUCCUUUCAUGUUUAUCAAAGAUGGAACAGUCAAAGAGCGAAUGGAGAGAUCAAUGUUCUAUGAAAUGACACUUGAACAGAAAUGGGAGCAGUUUUUCACUUGUCAAAAUGACUACAAUAAUGAAGGGAAUUCAGUACUUGUGGAUGUUGUUCUUGACACAAAAAUUGUCCUUAUUGCUGAAAGUAAAGCAAAAUGGGAUGAAUCAAAUGUUGUUGAGGGAGUAAUAUGGUUUAGAAGCUAUGAUAAAAAUGGAAAAGAAAUACCAAGUGUGGGAUUGAGACAAGAAAUAGUACAAAGAAUGAAGUGGGAACAAGAAAGAGGUGGAUGGCAAAAUAAAGGAAGAAUUAAACAAGUUCAACAAUACAGAGAAAAGGUUAGUAAAUGGAAGAAAUUCAGUUCCUAUGUCUUGAUUGAAAGGUUUGUGUUGAGGAGAAUGGAUAAAAGCUUGGUGAUGACUUAUGAUUUCAAGCACAUUGACAAGCUUAAGAGCAUAUGGGAGUAAUGUUAGGUGGCGCACACAAAAUUCUGCAUAAGUAUCGUCGACUUGUUAUCACAGCUCGACUUAUACAAAGUUUACAUGUCGGCUUGUUAUCACAACUCAACUUGUACACGACAGCCCACCCACCGUGACAUGCACAGAACCAUAGCAUGGAUGACGCAUAUUGUUACAUCCCGUAUAGAUAAACAGUUUGACGAGCCCUCAUAGUAGAUGAAGUUUGCACUUAGCUUCACUCAGUAAGACUCCACCUCAUUCGGAGUGCAGCCGAAUCUAUGAGUCAUCGUGUCAGAGUCAUCGUGUCAGAGUUUUUCUACAGACUUAUGGGUAGGCUGGUACCCCGUCCCAUUUGAUGUCGAAUAAUCCUAGAGGCUUUGAAGAUAGAGGUUCAAUAUAUACAGUAUGUCAGAGGCUUUAACGGUCCAUAUGUAUUCAUGUUUUAAGAAAAAAUGGUUCAGUGAUAAAUGUUUUCCACUUACAAUUUUAUAUUA